GCCAUGUGACCAGAACAUUCGCUGUUACUGACACAUUCGGGUCUGCAAUUGGGAGGUGUGCCUAUGAAUUCCGGAGAACAAGAGCAAGAGGGAGCGUCAUUGACCACUCUGCAUUCUGCAUUGGGUCCGCAUGGAGAAGAACACACUGAACAAAUGGAUCGCCAGUAAGUUCUGAUGGACAACUGCAUAUAGGAUUAUGAUUGACAACGUUACAAGUAGCUCUGAAUCCACAUGAACCGGGACAGGGAUUGACACAUUUCUGAUUGGUACAAGCUUCUGAUAAAGGACAAUCUGAACUGACUGUACACUCUGGUCUACAGGGUGACGGCGAACAGGGAUUCCUCUUUACAGUAUCUGUCAUUGUUACAGUAUCGUAGACAUUUAAGAUUCCGUCAUAACGAAUAUUU